rnacentral:rRNA from 1 species
CAGUCGCCGCGGUAAUACGGAGGGUGCAAGCGUUAAUCGGAAUUACUGGGCGUAAAGCGCACGCAGGCGGUCUGACAAGUCAGAUGUGAAAUCCCCGGGCUUAACCUGGGAACUGCAUUUGAAACUGUCAGGCUGGAGUCUUGUAGAGGGGGGUGGAAUUCCAGGUGUAGCGGUGAAAUGCGUAGAGAUCUGGAGGAAUACCGGUGGCGAAGGCGGCCCCCUGGACAAAGACUGACGCUCAGGUGCGAAAGCGUGGGGAGCAAACAGGAUUAGAUACCCCUGUAGUCCCUGUCUCUUAUAC